rnacentral:rRNA from 1 species
CCUGCCUCAAAGAGGGGGACAACAGUUGGAAACGACUGCUAAUACCGCAUAAGCCCACGGCUCGGCAUCGAGCAGAGGGAAAAGGAGUAAUCCGCUUUGAGAUGGCCUCGCGUCCGAUUAGCUAGUUGGUGAGGUAACGGCCCACCAAGGCGACGAUCGGUAGCCGGACUGAGAGGUUGAACGGCCACAUUGGGACUGAGACACGGCCCAGACUCCUACGGGAGGCAGCAGUGGGGAAUAUUGGUCAAUGGACGAGAGUCUGAACCAGCCAAGUAGCGUGCAGGAUGACGGCCCUAUGGGUUGUAAACUGCUUUUAUAAGGGAAUAAAGUGGGAGUCGUGACUCUUUUUGCAUGUACCUUAUGAAUAAGGACCGGCUAAUUCCGUG